GGAGCUAUAGUUUAGUGGUUAGAAUAGUUCGUUGUGGCCGAACAGACCCGUGUUCGAUUCACGGUAGCUCCA